AUGGCUCGCGGCGCGGCGGCGGCGGCAGCGGCCGCGAAGGGCAAGAAGAAGGGGUCCGUCUCCUUCGUGAUCGACUGCACCAAGCCCGUGGAGGACAAGAUCAUGGAGAUCGCGUCGCUGGAGAAGUUCCUCCAGGAGCGCAUCAAGGUCGCCGGCGGCAAGGCCGGGAACCUCGGCGACUCCGUCACCGUCACGCGCGACAAGAGCAAGGUCACCGUCACCUCCGACGGCGCCUUCUCCAAGAGGUACCUCAAGUACUUGACCAAGAAGUACUUGAAGAAGCACAACGUGCGGGACUGGCUUCGUGUGAUCGCAGCCAACAAGGAGCGCAACGUGUACGAGCUCCGGUACUUCAACAUCGCUGAGAAUGAGGGCGAGGAGGAGGAUUAG
rnacentral:rRNA from 1 species